GUGAGGAAUUUUCCGCAAUGGGCGAAAGCCUGACGGAGCAAUGCCGCGUGAAGGAUGAAGGCCUAUGGGUUGUAAACUUCUUUUCUCAGAAAAGAAUUAUGACGGUAUCUGAGGAAUAAGCAUCGGCUAACUCUGUGCCAGCAGCCGCGGUAAGACAGAGGAUGUAAGCGUUAUCCGGAAUGAUUGGGCGUAAAGCGUCUGUAGGUUGUUUAAAAAGUAUUCUGUCAAAGAUUAGGGCUUAACCAUAGAUAGGCAGAAUAAACUUUUAAGCUAGAGUUUGGUAGAGGCAGAGGGAAUUCCCGGUGGAGCUGUGAAAUGCGUAGAUAUCGGGAGGAACACCAAAGGCGAAGGCACUCUGCUGGGCCAAUACUAACACUGAGACACGAAAGCGAGGGGAGCAAAUGGGAUUAGAUACCCUGGUAGUCC
rnacentral:rRNA from 1 species